GCUUGUUCCGGCGGACCAGGAUGGUCAAGAAGAUAGUAGGUAUUUUGAAUUAGAAUUGUCAUAAUCAAACCUGACCCUCCCGUUUUUCCGCUCCCAGACGACCCGUUGCAGCUCCUUCAUCUACAUACGGUUACUGGAAUGCCGGUCAGUACCUUCUUCCUCUCGUACGGAGAUCAUAUCGUAAAGAAUUCGUCCAUGAGCAAGACGGCCAGUUUGCGAAAAGGACCGCAUCUUCCGACGGAUCCAGGCACACUCAGGCAGGUGCGGAUCUGUAUCGCAUGGUUGGUGCGCGCAGGCCAUCAUUGGAGGUUUUGUCCAGCAGGGUAGUCAGCCAGCUGGUGUUUCGAAACUGAGAUGGACCUUUCCAGACGUGACCUUAUAGGGAAUCCGCUCGCAGUCGAAGUCGAAUUGGCCGAAAAAGUUUUCCGUUAGUCUAGCUCCAAAACCUGAUAUCUUCUUUGUCCUUUGGAAAAGAUCUGUUACGGAUCAACGGCCGGAGAGUGGCCCAUGGGCAGCUGAUGCUCUCAGAGAAGGACAAUGAUGUGUGAGUCCUGCUUUGAACACGAUUACGUGCUGGGAUCAAGAUCGCCGAUUUUCAGGAAGAUUCAUGUGUUCAAGCUGGAACAUGAAAAUUGCAACCGCCAGCGAAAGAUCUUUAUUCGAAGCAGUUCAAGAGCCGUUCAAGCCACCUUCAGCGAUGGUGGUCGGGUUGCGUCAACUGGAAAAAAAACAUAAAUAGGCAUCGAUAAAGAAGAGGGAGGGGGAGGGUACAGUCUCUUUAUUUUGAAAGAAAAACAGGUGGCAAAAUGCUGCAGGCAUGAUUGUGUUCGCCACGAUAGCAGCUGGAUACUGUGGUGGCAGAUUUGGUACAUAGUCUCGCAGUGGAUUGAUCCACUUCUCGUCCCAUGUUCUAGCCGACGGGCAAACCCAGCUGGCGGUUUAUGGACGACCAACGGGCGUUGCUGGUUCCGACGGGCAAGCUUCUUCCCUCUUUGACUAAUCGUCAGCCCCAGCAUCCGCUGAUCCGGGUGUGCCGAGUGGGGUCUCUCCAUUAGUAUGAAGGCCAGCGGCCUGAGGAUAAUAUAACGUGGAGAGGUGCCAGACGACGGGUUUAGAUGUUGGUAGCUAGCUAUUCAUGGCAUUCACGCUGCCGCUGGUUGGACCGAGACGGAACGAGUGCUCACGGAACCUCUUUCCCACAUAUGUUGUCGGUAUCCCCGGUCGGAAAUGGAUGGCACCUUUCGGACGUGUGUCUGGGGCUUUGCGCUUGCCAUCUGGUAUAUUCAACAAACCGGUCGCAGGAUAGCCCUCGACUCAUCUGGCGUUACCCAAAACCAGGCUUAAACAAGUAGCCGACCUCGUUAAUUUGGCCAAUCGUAUUGAUAUGGCCAUUUGCCAUGAAUGCUCGGAAUCAUGACUAGAUUGCCUAAAUACCUUCGAUAAUUGAUUCUCAGAGGGCAGUGUUUAACAAUCGUACCGGCUGUAACAGUGCGAUUUAUUAGCGUGAUAACGCUCGCUUGGGACAAGUACUAACCACGCUUCCAUCUUCCCAGAUCGACGACCGCAACAUGUGCUGAUCCUCCCCUACGUUGCAACUUAUGAGCAUAGAUCGUUGCGAUUUGAGUUUGGCAAGGUAGUGUGUGUGUUCGUUGAUAGUGUAAGAGCCGGUUUGGAGGUGGAGAAACUGAUGAUUUACCGGAUCAGUUUUUGAUCAACCUUUGAUUUGCCCGGUGAACUGAAGUGCGACAAGGCGCGAGAACCGUUAUAGAUUCGACUACAGCUCAAUGAGCCUAGGUGAAGCGAGCCAUCCAGGAACUCUAGAACCCCGCGAUUAGGAUACUCCGGCAUCACCGGUGGCUCACCGAACCACGCCCCACCUAUCAAAGUGGUCAGAAACGGUAAUUGUCCACCAGGUCGACGAGCAGCGACCAGCCGCCAUUGCUGAGUUGUGCAUCCUCCGUACGGGAACCACGAGCCACACCCAAGACCUGCCCUACAACUACAACCCUGCGCCGGGAACCGGGACAUUCCACGAAACAUCGGUGACGUGGAAAUUCGAGAUUCCGUCAACACACUCGAGGGCGAUAGGGCAGGCACAAAGGGGUGAGCGAACGCCGGCAAGUUGAACGUUCACCACCAGACCAGCGAGCAGCAGGACGAGACGGCUGGAGCUGGUUCCGGAGAUGUUUUCCUGCCUGAGCGCAUGCCGACCCUGCAGAGCAAUAGGGGAGUCAUGUGGACCCCCACAGCCAUUGCUGUUGUCAGCAAAUCUCCAACUGUCUAUCGGCUCAGGUUUCUAGACGUUUGGUAGGCCGUCCAGCGAUGUGCUUAAGUGGUUCAGCACUGAAUCCGAGGUAUGAACCCGAGGUUGCAGUCUCCAAAAGCGUUUCCGGCCAGGGAACUUUUUUAAAGUUUCAACUGCAAAUUAAAAAUAAUCAG